UCGCAAAUCCCUCGCAACAGUUGC
rnacentral:siRNA from 1 species